rnacentral:rRNA from 1 species
UCUAACUAACCUAGCGGCGGACGGGUGAGUAACACGUAGGCAACCUGCCCACAAGACAGGGAUAACUACCGGAAACGGUAGCUAAUACCCGAUACAUCCUUUUCCUGCAUGGGAGAAGGAGGAAAGGCGGAGCAAUCUGUCACUUGUGGAUGGGCCUGCGGCGCAUUAGCUAGUUGGUGGGGUAAAGGCCUACCAAGGCGACGAUGCGUAGCCGACCUGAGAGGGUGAUCGGCCACACUGGGACUGAGACACGGCCCAGACUCCUACGGGAGGCAGCAGUAGGGAAUCUUCCGCAAUGGGCGAAAGCCUGACGGAGCAACGCCGCGUGAGUGAUGAAGGUUUUCGGAUCGUAAAGCUCUGUUGCCAGGGAAGAACGUCUUGUAGAGUAACUGCUACAAGAGUGACGGUACCUGAGAAGAAAGCCCCGGCUAACUACGUGCCAGCAGCCGCGGUAAUACGUAGGGGGCAAGCGUUGUCCGGAAUUAUUGGGCGUAAAGCGCGCGCAGGCGGCUCUUUAAGUCUGGUGUUUAAUCCCGAGGCUCAACUUCGGGUCGCACUGGAAACUGGGGAGCUUGAGUGCAGAAGAGGAGAGUGGAAUUCCACGUGUAGCGGUGAAAUGCGUAGAGAUGUGGAGGCACACCAGUGGCGAAGGCGACUCUCUGGGCUGUAACUGACGCUGAGGCGCGAAAGCGUGGGGAGCAAACAGGAUUAGA